rnacentral:rRNA from 1 species
GGGUUGUGAGGUUAAGCGACUAAGCGUACACGGUGGAUGCCCUGGCAGUCAGAGGCGAUGAAGGACGUGCUAAUCUGCGAAAAGCGUCGGUAAGGUGAUAUGAACCGUUACAGCCGGCGAUGUCCGAAUGGGGAAACCCAGUGCAAUUCGUUGCACUAUCGUUAACUGAAUACAUAGGUUAACGAGGCGAACCGGGGGAACUGAAACAUCUAAGUACCCCGAGGAAAAGAAAUCAACCGAGAUUCCCCCAGUAGCGGCGAGCGAACGGGGAGCAGCCCAGAGUCUGAAUCAGCUUGUGUGUUAGUGGAACGGUCUGGAAAGUCCGACGGUACAGGGUGAUAGUCCCGUACACCAAAAUGCACAGGCUGUGAACUCGAAGAGUAGGGCGGGACACGUGGUAUCCUGUCUGAAUAUGGGGGACCAUCCUCCAAGGCUAAAUACUCCUGACUGACCGAUAGUGAACCAGUACCGUGAGGGAAAGGCGAAAAGAACCCCGGCGAGGGGAGUGAAAAAGAACCUGAAACCGUGUACGUACAAGCAGUGGGAGCACCUUCGGGUGUGACUGCGUACCUUUUGUAUAAUGGGUCAGCGACUUAUAUUCUGUAGCAAGGUUAACCGUAUAGGGGAGCCGCAGGGAAACCGAGUCUUAACUGGGCGUUAAGUUGCAGGGUAUAGACCCGAAACCCGGUGAUCUAGCCAUGGGCAGGUUGAAGGUUGGGUAACACUAACUGGAGGACCGAACCGACUAAUGUUGAAAAAUUAGCGGAUGACUUGUGGCUGGGGGUGAAAGGCCAAUCAAACCGGGAGAUAGCUGGUUCUCCCCGAAAGCUAUUUAGGUAGCGCCUCGUGAAUUCAUCUUCGGGGGUAGAGCACUGUUUCGGCUAGGGGGUCAUCCCGACUUACCAACCCGAUGCAAACUACGAAUACCGAAGAAUGUUAUCACGGGAGACACACGGCGGGUGCUAACGUCCGUCGUGAAGAGGGAAACAACCCAGACCGCCAGCUAAGGUCCCAAAGUCAUGGUUAAGUGGGAAACGAUGUGGGAAGGCACAGACAGCCAGGAUGUUGGCUUAGAAGCAGCCAUCAUUUAAAGAAAGCGUAAUAGCUCACUGGUCGAGUCGGCCUGCGCGGAAGAUGUAACGGGGCUAAACCAUGCACCGAAGCUGCGGCAGCGACACUAUGUGUUGUUGGGUAGGGGAGCGUUCUGUAAGCCUGCGAAGGUGUGCUGUGAGGCAUGCUGGAGGUAUCAGAAGUGCGAAUGCUGACAUAAGUAACGAUAAAGCGGGUGAAAAGCCCGCUCGCCGGAAGACCAAGGGUUCCUGUCCAACGUUAAUCGGGGCAGGGUGAGUCGACCCCUAAGGCGAGGCCGAAAGGCGUAGUCGAUGGGAAACAGGUUAAUAUUCCUGUACUUGGUGUUACUGCGAAGGGGGGACGGAGAAGGCUAUGUUAGCCGGGCGACGGUUGUCCCGGUUUAAGCAUGUAGGCUGGUUGUCCAGGCAAAUCCGGAUAAUCAAGGCUGAGGUGUGAUGACGAGGCACUACGGUGCUGAAGUAACAAAUGCCCUGCUUCCAGGAAAAGCCUCUAAGCAUCAGGUAACAUCAAAUCGUACCCCAAACCGACACAGGUGGUCAGGUAGAGAAUACCAAGGCGCUUGAGAGAACUCGGGUGAAGGAACUAGGCAAAAUGGUGCCGUAACUUCGGGAGAAGGCACGCUGGUGUGUAGGUGAAGCCCCUGCGGGUGGAGCUGAGACCAGUCGAAGAUACCAGCUGGCUGCAACUGUUUAUUAAAAACACAGCACUGUGCAAACACGAAAGUGGACGUAUACGGUGUGACGCCUGCCCGGUGCCGGAAGGUUAAUUGAUGGGGUUAUCCGUAAGGAGAAGCUCUUGAUCGAAGCCCCGGUAAACGGCGGCCGUAACUAUAACGGUCCUAAGGUAGCGAAAUUCCUUGUCGGGUAAGUUCCGACCUGCACGAAUGGCGUAAUGAUGGCCAGGCUGUCUCCACCCGAGACUCAGUGAAAUUGAACUCGCUGUGAAGAUGCAGUGUACCCGCGGCAAGACGGAAAGACCCCGUGAACCUUUACUAUAGCUUGACACUGAACAUUGAGCCUUGAUGUGUAGGAUAGGUGGGAGGCUUUGAAGCGUGGACGCCAGUCUGCGUGGAGCCAACCUUGAAAUACCACCCUUUAAUGUUUGAUGUUCUAACGUUGGCCCCUGACCGGGGUUGCGGACAGUGUCUGGUGGGUAGUUUGACUGGGGCGGUCUCCUCCCAAAGCGUAACGGAGGAGCACGAAGGUUAGCUAAUCCUGGUCGGACAUCAGGAGGUUAGUGCAAUGGCAUAAGCUAGCUUGACUGCGAGCGUGACGGCGCGAGCAGGUGCGAAAGCAGGUCAUAGUGAUCCGGUGGUUCUGAAUGGAAGGGCCAUCGCUCAACGGAUAAAAGGUACUCCGGGGAUAACAGGCUGAUACCGCCCAAGAGUUCAUAUCGACGGCGGUGUUUGGCACCUCGAUGUCGGCUCAUCACAUCCUGGGGCUGAAGUAGGUCCCAAGGGUAUGGCUGUUCGCCAUUUAAAGUGGUACGCGAGCUGGGUUUAGAACGUCGUGAGACAGUUCGGUCCCUAUCUGCCGUGGGCGCUGGAGAAUUGAGGGGGGCUGCUCCUAGUACGAGAGGACCGGAGUGGACGCAUCACUGGUGUUCGGGUUGUCAUGCCAAUGGCACUGCCCGGUAGCUAAAUGCGGAAGAGAUAAGUGCUGAAAGCAUCUAAGCACGAAACUUGCCCCGAGAUGAGUUCUCCCUGAGACUUUAAGUCUCCUGAAGGAACGUUGAAGACGACGACGUUGAUAGGCCGGGUGUGUAAGCGCAGCGAUGCGUUGAGCUAACCGGUACUAAUGAACCGUGAGGCUUAACCUUACAACGCCGAAG